rnacentral:piRNA from 1 species
AAUGAGGACGUGCCUGUCUUAACUCGGG